CGAUCCACUCUUCCCCCUCGCCGGUAGCCAUCGCCGGCGGUGAAGUUGCACACAAUGUGGACCUUAUCGAACACGUCCCGGGUCAUCCAACCUCUCCACCGACCCAGCGUCUUGUGCCGCUCCGUUCUCUCCACCUCCUCCUGCUCCUCAUCUCCGCCACCGUGGAUGCCGGUGUCCGUCUCGAGCAUGUUCGACUCUGUCGCUCUCCCUUUUUGUCCAAGUUCCGACGCCCUCCUCGCCGUCAGUCCGAGAUCAGGCCGCUAGUUCUACCCCGUCUGGCUCCGCCGCACUCACAUCGUCGUCUCCACCCUCUUCCCCUCUCCGCCUCCCUCUCGCCGGCACCCUCAUCGACCACAUCCAUCCACUGUGCCGGUGGUAACCGAGGAGAACGGGGCAUGAAUGGGAUGAAGGGGGACUGCUCGUUUGUUGCAGAAACUGGAAGAGCCGGUGGAAAGAAUGAGGGGCACCCUUUUUGCGUCUCUUUUCCUGCGAAAGCCGUCGCAUGCGAACUAAAAGUUCGCAAGCCCCAUACUUUUUAAGAGCCAUAUAACGGAGUUAAAGGAUAAAGAGGGGAAAGAAGCUAAAGAAGCAACAUCAAUAAAAAAAAUGGGGUUUCUCCUUCAACCUUUUCCUCUUCCCUUUCCAGCAGCGCUAUCCACAACUCCAAAAAUCCCCAAACGAACUUUUUCCCCUCCAACCGCCGCUUCGAAUCCAAAACCACCGGAUUUGAAGACUUGGGCUCACGAUUUUAGGUCCAAGUCGCUGAAAUUCGUACUCGCCGGCACUUUCGCUCUCGGAAUUUCUCUUUCUGGACUUAGUGCAGCUGAUGCCAAAGUUGGGGUCAACAAGCCAGAAUUGCUUCCUAAAGAAUUUAGUCCUGUCAUUGAUGUUGCUGGGUUUCUCUCUGCAGGCCAGGAGAAACGGCUCUUGCAAGAGAUAGAAGAUCUUGAGAAGGAUACAGGAUUUAAACUAAGAAUUCUCGCACAGAAUUAUCCUGACACUCCAGGAUUGGCUAUUAAAGACUUCUGGCAAGUUGAUGAUAGAACUAUUGUUUUUGUUGCUGAUCCAACCUUUGGCAAUAUCUUGAAUUUCAAUGUUGGUGCAUCGGUUGAUUUGGACAUACCUCGAAGUUUCUGGAGUCGCUUAUCAGGGAAGUAUGGGAACAUGUUUUACUGGAAAGAAAAGGGGGAGGAUGCAUCAGUUGAAGCUGCUGUAAUUGCAAUUUCAAAUUGCCUGAGAGAACCUGUGGGACCAAAUAACUGCUCUGAUGUAAAGUAAGGUACCUGAUGUGAACCUGAUAACUGACGAGGACAUCUACAGACCCGAUGUGGCAGUGAGGGAGGUUCCUUUGCAACUUUUCCAUCCGAGUAUUGAGCAUCUCAAAGUUAAGCUCAUGCAUGUCCAAGCACCCCUCAGUUUCUUUCAAAGUCACCAAGAGUUAUUUAUACUAGACAGGAAGAUAAUCCGCAGAGAAAGCACAUGCUUAAAUUCUUUGAUGGGACAACGGGAAAAGGGGAGGUUUCAAUCCACUGAACUUGCACAAAUGCUUCAGUAGAUGAGUCCCUGCUGAGACUGAUCUCUGGAUAAAUUAGAGGGACAUGGACUUGCCAUUCUGCUAGUCAUGCCAUGGUAACAAAGUGCAGACAUCCUUUAAGUUUUGGUUCUGGUGGAGCAUUGUCUGUCUGUUAAUGAGUACAGAGUGUGACCCAAUCUUCUGAAGGACUCUCCAAACAAUUCUCUUAUAGCUUAAUUUUUAAUUUGAAAACGAAUGACUUCCUGGUUCCCUCUCAUCUCUUUGUUCAUUUCUAAUGUUCUAUCCUUUGUGAUCUAUCCUCUUUAAGAGAAGUAUGCAUUGAUUGAAAAAACACUAGAGUGAGACCCGUUGUCCAUUUCA